rnacentral:miRNA from 1 species
CUCGGAGGCGUUGGCC